UUAUUUCCCGCCCGGAUAUUACCUUCAAGGCUCUGGCCCUUUACCGCAAUGAUGGAGUACAUCUCUCUGUACUGGGGAAUGAUGUUUGGUUGGAUGCGGUAACUGCAAGGUUGAAGGUUGGGUUGGGAUUGUGAGUGGUUGGCGGCGAGCGUAAAGGGCUCGAUUGGCGGUUAGGCAUUGGUUAUAAAUUGGUGGAGGAGGGGUUAGGAUAGGCUGGGCCUGCCCCUCCAUGGUUGCUGCGGAAAGGGAAUUCCGUUAAAGGAAUCCUGGGGCUUGCCAUCUUUUCGUCCAAUCCCUGGAAUGGGACUAGGGCCGGCAAGCCUUCGGGGAGCAUGCGGAUGAGAAUUGAGGGUCUGUGGCCCAGCUCCAUUUUUCUCCGACUUGCUUUCCCCCGCACUGUCUUUCGGUGGUGCCCGGAAGUCAGUUCUGUCCCCAGGCGGGGGGACAGAUAGUCUUAACCAAUGCCUAAACAACCACUCACGGUUUUGUAUUUAAAUAAAGUUGUGGCCAAAAUUAUGCCAAAAACCUU